rnacentral:rRNA from 1 species
UACGUAGGGGGCUAGCAUUGUCCGGAAUCAUUGGGCGUAAAGCGCGUGUAGGCGGUCCGGUAAGUCCGCUGUGAAAGUCGAGGGCUCAACCCUCGAAUGCCGGUGGAUACUGUCGGGCUAGAGUGCGGAAGAGGCGAGUGGAAUUCCUGGUGUAGCGGUGAAAUGCGCAGAUAUCAGGAAGAACACCCGUGGCGAAGGCGGCUCUCUGGUACGUGACUGACGCUGAGACGCGAAAGCGUGGGGAGCGAACAGG